UAGCACAGAGAGUAGAGGGUGCUGGAGAUGACAGACGCUUGGUUCUGAGGAGGGAUUUGCAACGCAAUGGAGCGAGGAAGGGAUCGUUUACACUUGAGAAGAACUACUGAACAGCACGUCCCAGAGAUUGAGGUCCAGGUCAAACGUAGAAGGACAGCCUCACUGAGCAACCAAGAGUGUCACUUGUACCCACGGCAUUCUCAGCAACAGCAAAUUCCUGUGGUGGAUUUCCAGGCAGAACUGAGACAGGCGUUCUUAGCUGAGACACCAAGAGGUGGUUAAAGCAGUAUUGGAACUUCAACAAAAACAGGACCCAUCCACUGUUUGUGAAACUUUGGUCAAGCUUACACUGUGUUAAUAACCUGCAUCAAACCUUUAUUUAUUGCCCUUCCCCAAGUUUUAAGGAUCUUGAAAUUUUAGUGUUGACAACUGCUAUUGCGGAACAGCAAUCAUGACUGUGGGUAAGAGUAGCAAGAUGCUGCAGCAUAUUGACUAUAGAAUGAGAUGUAUCCUGCAAGAUGGAAGAUUCUUCA
rnacentral:lncRNA from 1 species